rnacentral:misc_RNA from 1 species
GAUGAAGAACGUAGCGAAAUGCGAUAAGUAGUGUGAAUUGCAGAAUUCAGUGAAUCAUCGAAUCUUUGAACGCACAUUGCGCCCCUUGGUAUUCCAUGGGGCAUGCCUGUUCGAGCGUCAUUUGUACCUUCAAGCUUUGCUUGGUGUUGGGUGUUUGUCUCGCCUCCGCGUGUAGACUCGCCUCAAAACAAUUGGCAGCCGGCGUAUUGAUUUCGGAGCGCAGUACAUCUCGCGCUUUGCACUCACAACGACGACGUCCAAAAGUACAUUUUUACACUCUUGACCUCGGAUCAGGUAGGGAUACCCGCUGAACUUAAGCAUAUCAAUAAGCGGAAGA